CUUGGAUUGGGACGACAGUACCGGAGCGCUACUGUUGAUUAUUAUCUCAGUCUGCCCAUUGAGGGUGUGAAGUGAGGCCUCGUCAAAUGCAAAGUUUUUUCCAACCACAUCAGGAGGAGAAGUCUCUGAAGCAGUGGAGUGGCGGUCCUCAAAAAACAAAUCUCCACAAGGAUAAUCGGAAAUAUACAAAAGUUGAUCCAACUCUACUGGAGUGUCCUGGACACCUCCAUUGUCUGAGUCCAGGGUGAGAAAUCCAAGAGGAAACGAUUGCUCCGAUUCCCACUGCGCAUGCCCCAAAGGGCUAGACAGCACCGUGGGUUCCAUCUAUUUCAGCUCAAAAACAAACUCACAUGCCAUAUUUCAUCUUAUAUUAAUACGACUUCAUAUGAAUGCAUCCUACUUACGUGUGAAAAUGUUUAGCAAGGAACUAAAUUUUUUUUAACUUGACAGAUCGGCAACCACACUCACUGAACGUAAUAGCUAAUAUAAAAGUCAUUUUUAAAUGCUAUAAGCCAUGUUUAGUUGUCAAAUCUUUAAGCUGUUUUGACUCACUUGGUGCCUUUCGGGCAUGGCAGGUUCCACGCAUGGCUUUUCCAAAAUCUUGCCGUCCCAGCCCAAACAUCGUCAAACGUUUUAGUGGAGAAAUUAGCAAAAAAGACGUGAGAAAUACUUCGGCUGCGAAACAAAAAACGCUAGCAUGUAUUUUGUCAACAUUAUUAGCUUAGCCGAUCACCUCAACGCGUCCCCUCGCGAGCGAUUCCAAAAAACGAUGAGGGCGUGGGGGGGAUAACAAACCGUUUCCAAAUUGAAAUAUUAUUCCGAACAUUGGCGUUUAAAUGGCAUUGCAACGAGAGUGUCAAGCGUUUAUCCUGGAAGAAAUGGAGGAAAAAGAAAACACUAAGAAUAACUCCUCCUUUCCAGCAUCCUACCGCUCCCCUGUCAUUGGCUAGCUGUCGAGCUAGCCUAAAUUAGCCUGUUCGCUCGCGACCAGGCCAAACGAUCCGUCCGCCAUCCAAGUCCUUGGGGAAAUUAUUGAAUAAAAAAAAAAACUAAUCCGCUUCAAAGUCAGUUUGUUGUCUCCG